rnacentral:rRNA from 1 species
GGAUUAGUACGUUCUAACUCCAACCCAUGUGACUUACCAUUGUUGCCUCGGCAGAAGCUGCUCGGUGCACCCUACCUUGGAACGGCCUACCCUGUAGCGCCUUACCCUGGAACGGCUUACCCUGUAACGGCUGCCGGUGGACUACCAAACUCUUGUUAUUUUAUUGUAAUCUGAGCGUCUUAUUUUAAUAAGUCAAAACUUUCAACAACGGAUCUCUUGGUUCUGGCAUCGAUGAAGAACGCAGCGAAAUGCGAUAAGUAAUGUGAAUUGCAGAAUUCAGUGAAUCAUCGAAUCUUUGAACGCACAUUGCGCCCAUUAGUAUUCUAGUGGGCAUGCCUGUUCGAGCGUCAUUUCAACCCUUAAGCCUAGCUUAGUGUUGGGAGCCUACUGCUUUUGCUAGCUGUAGCUCCUGAAAUACAACGGCGGAUCUGCGAUAUCCUCUGAGCGUAGUAAAUUUUUAUCUCGCUUUUGACUGGAGUUGCAGCGUCUUUGGCCGCUAAAUCCCCCAAUUUUUAAUGGUUGACCUCGGAUCAGGUAGGAAUACCCGCUGAACUUAAGCAUAUCAAUAGCGGAGGAAUUCCUCUUUGGAGUUUACAAAAUUCCACCAUGACAAUUUCAUUGUUGCUCGCAGAAACUGCUCAGUGCACCCUACUUGGAACGGCCUACCUGUACGCCUUAACUUGGACGGCUUACCUGUAACGGCUGCGGUGGUCUACUAAUCUUGUUUAUUUUAUUGUUAUCUGAGGUGCUUAUUUUAAUAAGUCAAACUUUCACGUAUCUGGUUUCGACCUCAGAACCA